rnacentral:rRNA from 1 species
CAAGCACUUGGUUCGCCCCUUACUAUAACCAUCCCACUCAAUCUUUUACACCGAUGUUUCAUACUCUCUCGACCAGGUCAUCAUAAGAAAAUACUGCCAAAUCUUUCCGAAAUGAGGUUUUUUUUUCUCUCCUAUUUUUUUCUGUCAUAUUUUUUCUCCUAUUUUUCUAUUUUUAUUUUAAAAAUAGGAAGGGCGAGAUAG